rnacentral:tRNA from 1 species
UGUUGUGUGGUCUAGUGGUUAGGGCGUCCGGCAAACAACCGGAAGACCCAGGUUCGAUUCCUGGCAUGGCAG